AACGAACGCUGGCGGCAGGCUUAACACAUGCAAGUCGAACGCAUCCUUCGGGGUGAGUGGCAGACGGGUGAGUAACGCGUGGGAACGUGCCCUUCAGUUCGGGAUAACCCAGGGAAACUUGGGCUAAUACCGGAUACGUGCGAGAGCAGAAAGAUUUAUCGCUGAGGGAGCGGCCCGCGUCUGAUUAGCUAGUUGGGGGGGUAAUGGCCCACCAAGGCGACGAUCAGUAGCUGGUCUGAGAGGAUGAGCAGCCACAUUGGGACUGAGACACGGCCCAAACUCCUAGGGGAGGCAGAAGUGGGGAAUAUUGGACAAUGGGCGCAAGCCUGAUCCAGCCAUGCCGCGUGAGUGAUGAAGGCCUUAGGGGUGUAAAGCUCUUUCGUCCGGGACGAUAAUGACGGUACCGGAAGAAGAAGCCCCGGCUAACUUCGUGCCAGCCGCCGCAGUAA
rnacentral:rRNA from 1 species